CCUACGGGAGGCAGCAGUGGGGAAUAUUGGGCAAUGGGCGCAAGCCUGACCCAGCAACGCCGCGUGAAGGAAGAAGGCUUUCGGGUUGUAAACUUCUUUUCUGAGGGACGAAGAAAGUGACGGUCCCUCAGGACUAAGCCAACGCUAACUACGAGCAAGCAGCCGCGGCAAUACGUAGGUGGCAAGCGUUAUCCGGAUUUAUUGGGUGUAAAGGGGGUGUAGGCGGGAAAGGCAGUCAGGUGUGAAAACUCAGGGCUCAACCCUGUGCCUGCAGUUGAAACUGUUUUUCUUGAGUGCGGGAGAGGCAAGCGGAAUUCCGUGUGUAGCGGUGAAAUGCGUAGAUAUACGGAGGAACACCAGUGGCGAAGGCGGCUUGCUGGACAGUAACUGACGCUGAGGCGCGAAAGCGUGGGGAGCAAACAGGAUUAGAUACCCUUGUAGUC
rnacentral:rRNA from 1 species